AACAUACUCCCUCCGUCCGAAAAUGGAUGUAUCUAGAACUAAAAUACAUCUAGAUGCAUCCCCUUUUAUUCAUUUUGAUGACAAGUAUUUCCGGACGGAGGGAGUAUUAA
rfam:Triticum aestivum genome assembly, contig: Triticum_aestivum_CS42_TGACv1_scaffold_500236_6BL